GACGAACGCUGGCGGCGUGCUUAACACAUGCAAGUCGAACGGUAAGGCCCUUCGGGGUACACGAGUGGCGAACGGGUGAGUAACACGUGGGUGAUCUGCCCUGCACUUCGGGAUAAGCCUGGGAAACUGGGUCUAAUACCGGAUAGGACCACUGCCUGCAUGGGUGGUGGUGGAAAGCUUUUGCGGUGUGGGAUGGGCCCGCGGCCUAUCAGCUCGUUGGGUGGGUGCUGGCCUACCAAGGCGACGACGGGUAGCCGGCCUGAGAGGGUGACCGGCCACACUGGGACUGAGAUACGGCCCAGACUCCUACGGGAGGCAGCAGUGGGGAAUAUUGCACAAUGGGCGCAAGCCUGAUGCAGCGACGCCGCGUGAGGGAUGACGGCCUUCGGGUUGUAAACCUCUUUCAGCACCGACGAAGCGCAAGUGACGGUAGGUGCAGAAGAAGGACCGGCCAACUACGUGCCAGCAGCCGCGGUAA
rnacentral:rRNA from 1 species